rnacentral:rRNA from 1 species
GAUGAACGCUGGCGGCGUGCCUAAUACAUGCAAGUCGAGCGAACAGACGAGGAGCUUGCUCCUUUGACGUUAGCGGCGGACGGGUGAGUAACACGUGGGUAACCUACCUAUAAGACUGGGAUAACUUCGGGAAACCGGAGCUAAUACCGGAUAAUAUUUCGAACCGCAUGGUUCGAUAGUGAAAGAUGGCUCUGCUAUCACUUAUAGAUGGACCUGCGCCGUAUUAGCUAGUUGGUAAGGUAACGGCAUACCAAGGCAACGAUACGUAGCCGACCUGAGAGGGUGAUCGGCCACACUGGAACUGAGACACGGUCCAGACUCCUACGGGAGGCAGCAGUAGGGAAUCUUCCGCAAUGGGCGAAAGCCUGACGGAGCAACGCCGCGUGAGUGAUGAAGGUCUUCGGAUCGUAAAACUCUGUUAUUAGGGAAGAACAAACGUGUAAGUAACUGUGCACGUCUUGACGGUACCUAAUCAGAAAGCCACGGCUAACUACGUG